GACGAACGCUGGCGGCGUGCUUUACACAUGCAAGUCGAACGGUAAGGCCCUUCGGGGUACACGAGUGGCGAACGGGUGAGUAACACGUGGGUGAUCUGCCCUGCACUUCGGGAUAAGCCUGGGAAACUGGGUCUAAUACCGGAUAGGACUCCUGGCUUCAUGGUUGGGGGUGGAAAGCUUUCGCGGUGUGGGAUGGGCCCGCGGCCUAUCAGCUUGUUGGUGGGGUAAUGGCCUACCAAGGCGACGACGGGUAGCCGGCCUGAGAGGGUGACCGGUCACACUGGGACUGAGAUACGGCCCAGACUCCUACGGGAGGCAGCAGUGGGGAAGAGUGCACAAUGGGCGCAAGCCUGAUGCAGCGACGCCGCGUGAGGGAUGACGGCCUUCGGGUUGUAAACCUCUUUCAGCUAUGACGAAGCGCAAGUGACGGUAGUAGCAGAAGAAGGACCGGCCAACUACGUGCCAGCCGCCGCGGUAA
rnacentral:rRNA from 1 species